GUUUCGCUUAAAAGUUUGAGCAGUAAAAAACAAUUUUUCUCACAAACACAAUAUAAAUGUGAAAUGACAAAAGAAUCCUUAUGAGAAGUCUUCAAUCUUGCAUAAGUUCAUGGGAACCUUCCAAUCUGGCUCACUUGAAAAUAGAGCGCAUACGCAUAGGAACAACACGUCAUGCAACAGGCUAAAAAAACAAAAAAACUGAGAAUGACAUUAACAAGGGAACUGGGGGGCAUGUCCAUCAACACAAGACGCAAACACUGUCUGAAAGGCUACAAAAGACAAGUGACCACAAAGGAAACGGCAAAA